rnacentral:lncRNA from 10 species
GAAAAACCUGUCCCCGUGAUUCAAUUCCCUCUCACUGGGUCCCUCCCAUGACAGGUGAGAAUUAUGGGAGCUACAAUCCAAGAUGAGAUUUGGGUGGUGACACAGCCAAACCAUAUCACCAGGAGAAAAGAAAAGAAAAAAAUGAUGCUUGAGAAGAAAGAGAGAGCAAGAAAGCGAGAGAGAAUGGUAGAGAUGGAGGUAUUGAAAAGAUAAGAGAAGAUGGGAUUCAGAACUCAAGAAGGGGAGUCAAUUCAAGGUUUUACAGAUGAAGGGCUGGCUCAAGUGACUAAGCAGUGUGAAACAACCAAUAAUGGAGUGUUUGACAGCAAGUUCAAACGGCACAGUAUGGUGAUUUGUGUAGUGUGCAUUUGCAAAUUAAGACAGCCUGGAGAGGACAUUUGGAUUAGACCAUCAAGCACCAAAGAAAACUUCUAAUGGGCCGAGAUGAUGCAUCUGUUUAAGGCUGGAAGGAAGAGAAAUAGAGGCCUUGACAAAAACCUCAUUUCACCGCCCACCUGAUCAAUCUCCACUCUGGUUCAAGGGCCUUCCACAGAGAUUAUGUGGCCAAUUCUUUGCCUCCAUGUAGACUGAGGAGGAGCCAUUCAAACUUGCUAAUGACAAAACCCCAAAGAAACCGAAAACUAAAAAAUGAAGGAAAAUGCAGGAAGGCAAAGAGACUAGCAAUAGACUACAAUGUAGAAAAAGCUAACAGAAAAAAGUUGUGAGAAAAAAAUCUGUGCAUAUAAGUAAGAAUAUUUAUUUUCACAUCAAAAGUCUAACUUUAAUGUGCUUAAACAAGAAACAUUACGGGAAAUACAAAAACAUUACUUCUAGAGCUAAUAAAAAUUUUUAAUUAGUGCUUUAUUUCACAAGAGGCACUUGAAAAUAAGAAAUAAGCCUGCUAUCUCAUUCUCUUAACAUGCUUCUAGUAGUAUAAUGUUUUCAGGAAAGAAGUUUAUUUUACUUACUCAUUCUUUUAUUCAAAAAGCAUGUGUUGAACUCCACAUGUAUUUCAGGCCCUAUGCUAUAUUCUGGGAAUAUACUGAUUAAUGAAACUUGAUUCUAAUUCUUAAAGACCAAGCCAGUAUGGCCAGAGAUGCCAACUUAUUAAAAAAAUCAUUGCAUUGAGCCUUGAUAAGUGUUAUUACUGGCAUAUGUAGAGGGCAAAAAAGGGCACCAAGAAAAGAGUAGUCAAUGCUUCCUGGUAGCACUAGGGAAGACAACACUAAAGAAAUGACAUUUUAGUUGAAUCUUAAAGAGUAAGUAGGAUAUUUGCCAUGUAAAGUAGACAGAAUUUCUAGACAAGAAACAGAAUAUAACAUAUAGCAUAUUUGAAAAGCUGAGAGGGGCCAGAUCAUUUUGGGUCUUGAAUGACAAGGAUAUAGUAUAAAUUAUAGACUUCACUCUAAAAAUGGAAAAAAAUGUGGGUCAUUUGUUUUUGCUCUCCCAACAGUUCCUUUUUCUUUAAGUAACAGCACAUGGCUUUCUUUGGGGAUCUGUUCAUCUCCCACUUUGCCAAAGUCCUGGUGAGACCAUCAGUAAUGAGUCUUUACCUUUAUCACUCCCCAGAAGUGUCUGCACAUGACAUAAGCUAAGCCAGUCACUCUUUCCUGACAAUUUGAAUCUUCAGUGGAGUGACUAGUGUAUAAAGCAGAAGGAGCUGAGUCAUUCAGACACCAACACUUCCAAAAUUGAUCAUGAGUUAUAGAUCAAGAUCCUUGAUCAUUCAACUUUUCCUUAAUUUCUAUGAACACUAGUAUUCUUCUGACAAGUUCCUUUUUUUCCUUUGGUUUAAAUUGACCAGAGUUUGUGUCUGCUUUUUGCAACCAAAGAAUCCUUGAACUAGAAAGUUAUUUCAAAUUCCUAACAAGAUAGGGAUAUGGUCAGAAUGGCAUUUUUCAAUAAAUCAUUAUGUUACCAGAAUAAAAAACACAUGGGAUGAUAGUGAGAUCGGAGGCUGGGAGAUGAGUCAGGAAACUAUGCAAUAGUCUAGGCAAAAGAUGAUGAUAACUUGUCCUUGAGAAGUGGUUCUGGAAUAGAAAGUUAAAUAAGAAACGUAUUAAGUGGGUCAUACUUCCAUAAUGUCAAAUUGGCUACAGGGAUAAAGGAAUAAGGGUUGCCUAGGGUGAGUUUCAUUUUCCUUUCUUGAAUGACUACAUAGUAACAUUAGCUUAGGAGAAGCAGUUUAAGGCACAGAUGAGCUCAGUUUGAAACCUAUUAAGUUUGAUAUUUUAGUGGGUUACUCAGAUGGAUAUGUCUAAUGAAAAACUGACUUCCGUCAUUGCUAUUGUAUAGAUUUGGAAGCCAUCAACACAUAGCUGAUAGUAAAAGCCAUGGAAAUGAAUGACAUUACCCAUCAUCAGCCAGGACUGAAGCAUGACUCUGUCAGUAAGAUAGUUGAAUAGUCUAAAUGCCGUUGUAAGUCUUCAGCAAAGAGUUUUGCUUUAAAUUUAGAACUUUAUGGGCUCUAUUGGAAGUUUAGUUUUUAAAAAUAAUUUCUCUCUUAAACUAUUUGAAAAUGUCUCUCUGUAGGUUGCCUGUUCACUCUGAUGGUAGUUUCCUUUGCUGUGCAGAAGCUCUUUAGUUUAAUUAGAUCCCAUUUGUCAAUUUUGGCUUUUGUUGCCAUUGCUUUUGCUGUUUUAGACAUGAAGUCCUUGCCCAUGUCUACGUCCUGAAUGGUAAUGCCUAGGUUUUCUUCUAGAGUUUUUAUGAUUUUAGGUCUAACAUGUAAGUCUUUAAUCCAUCUUGAAUUAAUUUUUGUAUAAGGUGUA